AUUUUCAGUGGAGGCAUGUUACACUCCAGCUGCAAUGAAGCUAUUGGAGAUGUCCUGAAUGCUCCAUUAAACCAAAGGCGAUCAGUUAAUUUGAAAGUAUAGCAAGAUUUACAUUGUUAAAUGCACCAACUAUGUCAAAGAAGAUACAUACUAGUUUGUUUUACAAGAGACAGCAUUGUAAAUGUCUAGCUGAACAUCUGUUUCUUCAAAAGUCGAAUUGAUUAUUAGAUAAUACUUAAUGGAGUGCUGCGAGUAAAAGUUUCAUAUAAAAUGACCCAGCUGUUACGACGUUCCUGAUUUAAGAUAAGUUUCUUUUUAGACUGAAGUUUUUUUAAAAUUAAUAAAAUUUUCUUUUGUAGGGUUAUGUUUGAAGUUUACAUAUGCAUUUUUUGAAUUUUGUACUGCCAAAGAGCAUUUUUCAUUCCCCCAUGAAAGAGAUUCUUUCUAUCUCUAUAAGUGUUUUUAUUAUUAUUGACAUUGUAAUUUGUUGGGAGGGAUUUAAUUAUAGCUAAGUGGAAUAUAUUACAUAGAUUAUCAUAAAAUUCUUUAGGCGUUAAAGAGUCUGCCUCAAAUUUUUUAAAUAACUCAUUAACUGUAUUACUGUAUGUAUAUUUCCCUAUUUACAAGUUUAUAGUUAGGGCGUUUAUUUACAGGUGUACCUAAAACAUUGUUUUGAAUGUUAUUGUUAUUCUGAAAUGUGGUAUUUGUGAUUACAGGCAAGUGAUAACUUCCGAGCGAGUCAUCGUGAACAUUCCACACGGAAAUUAGAGCAAAAGAUGGAGAUACUAUGGUUAAAUUAAGAGCAUUAGGCCGCCAUCUAUUUGUGCCAACUGUGGUAGGAUUUCCAUUGUUUAAUAUAAUCAAAUUAUUAUCAUCUACUACAACACUAGAAUAUCUCUACCGCGUGGACUAAUAGUGGUACAGCCCAACGCGCUGUGGUGAGCGAUAAAAUCACCGGCAAUGAUAACAGGUUUUGGUAAUGAUUUAACAAAUGCAUCACUUUUUAUUUUAAAUGUGGAGUUGUGUUAGUGGGGCAACAUAAGCUAGCUAUUAUAUAUGAUUUAUUGUUAAUGGUUACUUGUAUACAAAUAUUUUAUAAUGAAUCACCAGAAAAAGGCUGAAGGCGAGAGUAUCUAAUACUGUUAUGAACUAAAAUGGCUACACCAAUAUGCUUGUUAUUUUAUUAUAUUACAUGUUAUUGUAUUAGGUACACCAUGAUGCUUAAUGCCUUUGGUUUCAGUUUUUUUUGAGACCUUGGGAAAUCGACAUUCUACUUUUGUCCGUAAUAGAAGCCUGUUGAUCUGUAUGCGGAAGGAAUACAACACACUCACUAAUGUUGCUGUUUAGGUCAUACUUCCUUUUGUAGUUAGGAGCCCUGAAUGUAACAUACUCCACAGACUCCUUUCACUGUCGCUGCUACUGUUGCUGGAAAGGGAGCCUUCAUUUGGUGGAGCAUCAUUCCUUCCCGCGGCAUGAUAUCUUCAAACAAAAAAUCUGAACUUCAAGUCUAUGAUUUUAUCUGUGCUUCACAUAUCAUAAGUGACAGUUCCAUCGCCCCACCUUUCCGCUGGAAACUACGCGCCCGCCAUUACAGUUUUGAAGUUGAUCGAGUAAAGUUUUGCGUUGAUUCAUUUUCGUAAUUUGUCCUCUCAAUCUUAAAGCUGUAAUAAUCUUUUGCACCAUGUACAACAAGUGCUGUGUUGUGAAUUGUGUUAGUACACGGAAGGACGUCAGUUUUCAUAUGCUUUCAAAAAGUGAGAUAGGACUCCAAAAGUGGUUACAGAGUUUAAACUGUAAAAAAUUGCGAAUAUUGAGUUUCCAAGAACUUCGCAAACACUUUGUGUGUGGUAAACAUUUUGAGGAAAGGUCUUUCGCAUCGACACGCGAUAGAGUCCGUCUUUGUCCCAACGCCUAUCCAUCAUUGUUUUCUGAUAGCGAGAUAUCCAGUGGUAUUCCUCAAUCUUGUGCCUUGAUGGUCCAUACAAGAGAGGAUGUUAAACCUAGUUAUGGUAAUAAACGUAAACAUAUUGUUCACACUUAUUGUUUGUGUGUGUCCCAGAGAAACAAUCUAAAACUGGCUCCGAAACAGCUGUAAUUUGAACUUAUGCUGAAGACUCAAACAAGCCUUCUACAUCGAGAUGUCUUGAUGGAAUGAAGUUGUAACGAGGAAACCAAUAAAUAAUGAAGUUGUGCAUUGUACUCCUAAAAUGAAGAGAAGACAUCGAGUUGUCUCCUUACGGAAAAAGUUGUCACCACACUUUGCAAAACUUUACAAAGGGUAUACGAAAUCAGGACGACAACUCAAUUUCCAUGUCCGAGCUACAAGUUAUUAAUAAGAUUUUAAAAGGCACAGUUUGUUAGGUUACAAAAAAAAUGC